AUGAAACUUCGAUUUUUUGUAUUAAUAACCGGACUUUUUUGUAUCUCGAACCAGGAAUUGGUGUCGAAAGCUGAAGGAUGCUUCCUGCGAUGUGUUGCACAAUGUGUCGCGUUUGUUGAAAAGAGCGAUUCUACACAACAGUCUUUAGAUGCUUGCAAACCACAAUGCCAGAAACUUAAUAACAAAAACUUAUGUUCAGACAAUACUUGCUGGAGCACGUGUAAUGGAGAAUUAGUCCCUGAAAAAACACUACCAGCACCGACGAAUCUGACACUGAAAGGUGUCCGUGGACUCUCGUGGAGCCCGGUGCCUGGAGCUGUUAUGUAUUAUAUCGGAUAUCGAACAUUGAACAGUAAAACGUUUACCAGUGACGACUUUGUGAUUACGGAAAAGCAAACCGUCGAUCUGAGCACUUUGACAAACAUCGAUCCAUGCUCCGAACUCGAGGUUGCAGUUGCCGCGUUUUCAGAAGAUGGAAUUGGAAAUGAGAGUAAAGAAUUGAAGAUAUCAAGUCCAAAACCAACAGCCAAUCCAAAAUUGGAUUUAUUGGAAUUACAAUACCUUAAUACCACCCUCGUCAGUGACUUCUACCAAGCCAAUGCAACUGUACACGUUGAGUUCCGAUAUAAAACAGAUCCUUGGUUCCUUGGCCCGGACGAUUUGGAUGUUCAACCAUUAUUUCACCUGAUCUCCUGUGUAGACCCAGAUCUAAGCCAAGGAAUUCCAGUUCCAGAUUUUGAUGUUCACGUGAAAAACAGUACGAUCUCUACUUCAAUUGGAUCCGAUAUGAUGGAUCGAAAGUGUCGUUACGUGUAUUAUUUGCAGAGUGUAAUGAGCAAAAAGUGCAAUACAAUGACAGAAAUGCCAUCCCCACCAUCUUCAGCUUUACAAACAAUUCAAGUUGAAUGCGACAUUGUAAAAAAUGCGCCAUGUGUCAAAGUUCCCAGUUAUCAACCGCCGCUUUGUGGAAUGGUGGAAAAUGUUGCAUUUUCUGUUUUGUCUCGUGACCGUGAAAAUCUCAAUGAUCCAGCUUCCAAUCUGACAGUCAAUGUGACAUUCAUACCAGUUACCAGAAAUAAUGAAAUGCCAACACUGUAUUACAUUGGAAUUUUUGGAACUGCUUCUGAAUAUCAUACAAAGGAAGAGGAAACAUUUUUGGGUGUAAAUAUUACUCACGUUAUUGGGAAAGAAUCAAGCUGUACUGGGUUCGAUAGUUCUGGGAAUUGUUUGGCGGAAAAUCUGAAUCGCUCUAUUGUAUUACAAGGUAUCCAUCCGAAAACCUUAUACGGUCUUACUAUCUGCGCUGUAAAGGAUAUUCGAAACUUGACUCUACCGGAUGUCACAUUGGAUUCAAAAUCGUUCAGAGCAAAAGCUGAUAGGAUUAUGCUUGUUGCCCAUACUCACCACACUUAUUCACUUGUUCCUUAUCAAUUACUAAUCCAACCUGACGAUUUAUCACCCACUAACUCUAAAUCUCGGGAACCACGGGAAUCUGAUGACUAUGAAGAUCAUAACGAAGCAGUGAAUAUCACUGAAACUGAAGCAACUGGGAACCUUUCAUUUGUCUACCAUCGGUCAUUUUGGGAUAAUUCAACGGACAGUUCACUCGUGAAUAUAACCGAAAGCUAUAGAACACUACCAUUUAACCAAACAUUAAACGGGACAGAUUAUGAAGAAUACGAAGAUUUCAAUUCAACUACCACAACUACAACCACUACAGUUACCAACAUCCCAACGGAAAGUGAAAAACAUCGGUGCGAGCAACAACCCUGUUGGAAUGAUUAUUGGAAUUGUCAUUGGUUCACUGGUCGUUAUCCUAGUCGCAAUUGUAGUUAUUUGGUUCUAUUUCCGAAAGAAAUCUGAAAAUAUGAAAUUUAAAUUCCAAAUGGAACAAGUUGGAAAGAAUAAUAUGAAUCGAUACAUAGACUUCCCAAUUAUGGCAGCUAAAAACGAUAUUUGGGAAAUCGAGCGUCGCAACUUGAUUAUCCACAAUGACAAGAAGCUUGGCUCCGGUGCUUUUGGUGCAGUUUACCUUGGAAAAUUAAUUGGUAAAUCGCUGGCUCACAAAGAUGCGAAUUCUCCACUUGGAAUCAACUUGAUGCGUGCUGAAAACUGUCAGGUCGCUGUGAAAAUGCUUCCAGAAUAUGCAGAUGAAAUGUCCAAACAUGAGUUUCUCAGAGAAAUCGCUUUGAUGAAAACUCUAGGCUAUCAUGAAAGACUUGUCAACAUGUUGGCAUGUGUCACAGAAUCCGAGCCACUUUGCCUGGUUGUCGAGUACUGUGACAACGGAGAUUUGCUUAAGUUUUUGAGAGAAAGAUGCAAGUACAUGAUGAAGCUUGAUGAUCUCGGAAUCAACUAUCAUGAUCCACCAGAAAAUGAAAAUUAUGACACAAAUAUGAUUGUCACUCUGAAGCAGCUUCUGCAGUUUGCAGUUCAAAUUAGCUAUGGAUUGGAAUACCUUUCCCAAAAAGGGUUCGUCCAUCGUGAUGUGGCUGCGAGAAACGUUCUUGUUCACGAAGGAACUGCAUGUAAAAUUGGAGAUUUUGGGCUUUGCCGUUAUAUUUAUGCUGAUCAGUCCCAGUACAAGAGCAAGGGAGGAAAACUACCACUCAAAUGGAUGUCACCAGAAGCAAUUCGACACUACGAGUUUUCGAUUAAAAGUGACAUCUGGUCAUUUGGAAUCCUUCUAUUUGAAGUUAUCACUCUCGGUGGCUCUCCGUAUCCUGGAAUGCCUCCAGAGGAUGUUCUUCCAUUCUUGGAGGGUGGUGGUAGAAUUGAAAAACCAGACAAUUGUCCCGAAAACUUCUACGAUGUAAUGAUGCAAUGUUGGAAUGCGGAUCCAGAUGAUAGGAUAGAGUUUUCGGAUGUUCGAAUGCAGCUCGCGACACAGUUGGAAGAUAUCACUGAAGACUACAGUUAUCUGAAAUUGGACGCCGCGAAAGAUUAUUAUAAUGUUCAAUACGGCGAUGAAAAGAAAACGGACGUCGUAAUCAUCCCAGAUGAAAUCAUCAAGCCAUCAAAGCUAAUAAUGGACGAUAUCUCAGAAAAGAAUCUAGUAAUUGAGCAAUAG